UACCUCCUACGGGGCGCAGCAGUGAGGAAUAUUGGUCAAUGGCCGAGAGGCUGAACCAGCCACGUCGCGUGAGGGAAGACGGCCCUACGGGCUGUAAACCUCUUUUGUCGGGGAGCAAAGCGAACCACGUGUGGUUCAUUGAGAGUACCCGAAGAAAAAGCAUCGGCUAACUCCGUGCCAGCAGCCGCGGUAAUACGGAGGAUGCGAGCGUUAUCCGGAUUUAUUGGGUUUAAAGGGUGCGCAGGCGGACGUGCAG
rnacentral:rRNA from 1 species